GUGUGUGUGUGUGUGUGUGUGUGUGUGGUGUGUGUUGGGCUCACAAUCACGAAGAAGUGAGUUCGAUUCCCAGACCGGGCUGUGUGUUGUGUUCUUGAGCAAGACACUUUAUUUCACGUUGCCACGCGUCACUCAGUUGUAGAAAUGAGUUGCGACAUCACUGAUGCCAAGCUGAAUCGGCCUCUUGGCCUUUCCCUUGGAUAACAUCGGUGGCGUGGAGUAGGAGGGCUUGUAUGCAUUGGCGCCUGCUGGUCUUCAAUAAAGAACCUUGCCU